rnacentral:lncRNA from 1 species
UUUUCCUUUUUGUAUUUAGUAUUGAAAAAAAAUAAAAAAAAUUCGGAAUUAAAAAAAAGAAGAAAAAAAAAUUGAAAUUGAAAAAAAAAAGUGAUUGAAAUUCAUUUUGAGUUUGUUAAAGCAUUGCUUGUUGCCUGAAGGACCUUAUAGCCACACUUAACCAUUUCUAGUUUGUUUGAUAGCCGACCAUUUCCGACAUCAUUACCCACCAAGCCAAAUCAAUUUUGUAAGCUGACGCC